rnacentral:lncRNA from 1 species
UGCAGCCCUAACUCUUCUGUUUCUUUCUCUGCGGGACCCACCACGGAUGCAAGAAUGGAGCAUGCACGGAGAGCUCUGAGAGGCUGGGGCAGCUACCUGAGAGCUCUCUCUUCUUGAGCCUCCUAUCAGACCCCAGUGUUUUGCUUGUUGCCCACAUAUCUUCCAGAAGACCCUGAGCCACAGGACCCAGCUGCAC